AACGUUAAUCGGAUCAGGGUUAGUCGGGACCUAAGACGAACCGAAUCAGGGUAGUCGAUGGAAAACAGGUUAAUAUUCCUGUACCAGCGGAGAGGGACGGAGAGACGUGGCAACUACGUACUGACGGAAUAGUACGUUGAGCUUAGCCCUCGUGGCGAAGCGAAGUUGUAAAAUCUCUUCCAAGAAAAGCUCCCGCAAUAGCCCGUACCGUAAACCGACACAGGUGGCCGGGUUG
rnacentral:rRNA from 1 species